CGAUCCAGCUUGCUGGUAGGCGUCGAGCGGCGGACGGGUGAGUAAUACUUAGGAAUCUACCUAGUAGUGGGGGAUAGCUCGGGGAAACUCGAAUUAAUACCGCAUACGACCUACGGGAGAAAGGGGGCAGUUUACUGCUCUCGCUAUUACAUGAGCCUAAGUCGGAUUAGCUAGAUGGUGGGGUAAAGGCCUACCAUGGCGACGAUCUGUAGCUGGUCUGAGAGGAUGAUCAGCCACACCGGGACUGAGACACGGCCCGGACUCCUACGGGAGGCAGCAGUGGGGAAUAUUGGACAAUGGGGGAAACCCUGAUCCAGCCUUUCCGCGUGUGUGAAAGAAGGCCUUUUGGUUGUAAAGCAUUUUAAGCAGGGAAGAAGAUUCCUCGGUUUAUACCCGUGGACGAUGACAUUAGCUGCAGAAUAAGCACCGGCUAACUCUGUGCCAGCAGCCGCGGUAAUACAGAGGGUGCAAGAGUUAAUUGGAAUUACUGGGCGUAAAGCGAGCGUAGGUGUCUUGAUAAGUCAGAUGUGAAAUCCCCGGGUUUAACCUGGGAACUGCAUCUGAAACUGUUGGCUAGAGUAGGUGAGAGGAAGGUAGAAUUCCAGGUGUAGCGGUGAAAUGCGUACAGAUCUGGAGGAAUACCGAUGGCGAACGCAGGCUUCUGGCUUCAUACUGACACUGAGGCUCGAAAGCGUGGGUAGCAAACAGGAUGAGAUACCCUGGUAGUCCACGCUGUAAACGAUGUAUACUAGUCGUUGGGUCCWUUGAGGAGUUAGUGACGCAGCUAACGCAAUAAUUAGACCGCCUGGGGAGUACGGCCGCAAGGUUAAAACUCAAAUUAAUUGACGGGGGCCCGCACAAGCGGUGGAGCAUGUGGUUUAUUUCGAUGCAACGUGAAGAACCUUACAUGGUCUUGACAUAUCUAGAAUCCUGCAGCAGAUGCGGGAGUGCGUUUGGGAACUUAGAAUCCAGGUGCUGCAUGGCUGUCUUCAGUUCGUGUCGUGAGAUGUUGNGUUAAGUCCCGCAACGAGUGCAACCCUUGUCCUUAGUUACCAUCGGGUUAAGCCGGGAACUUUAAGGAUACUNCCAGUGACNAAGUGGAGGAAGGCGGGGAUGACGUCAAGUCAUCAUGGCCCCUAUGAUCAGGGCUACACACUGUGGUACAAUGGUAGGUACAGAGGGCAGUUACACACCGAUGUGAUGCGAAUCUCAAAAAGCCUAUCGUAGUCCAGAUUGGAGUCUGCAACU
rnacentral:rRNA from 1 species